GGGUGGGUGGUCCAGUGGUUAGAGCCUAGGGCUCGUAACCGAAAGGUUCCGAGUUCGAACCUCGCAAGGGGCA
rnacentral:tRNA from 1 species